CGGGGGAGGCGGGUUUUCUCGGGCCCGCCCCGACCCGAGGAGGAGCAGAGGCCGCGCCGUCCCUCCCCUUCGCGGUCUCAGCACUCAGUGCCGCGCUCGGCGGCCCUGCUACCCCCUGGCCUCCUGUCGCCGUGUCUCCGUGCCUCUGCUUUAUUGACCCCAGCUCGCUGAAACAGAGAGUGAAUUAUAAUGACACACUGUCAAAUGUUGCACCAUCCUUGGAUUCCUGAGAUAACCCUACUCAGUUAAUGACAUUUUCGGGCUUCCCUGGCGGCGCAGUGGUUGAGAAUCUGCCUGCCAAUGCAGGGGACACGGGUUCAAGACCUGGUCUGGGAAGAUCCCACAUGCCAUGGAGCAACUAGGCCCGUGAGCCACAGCUACUGAGCCUGCGCAUCUGGAGCCUGUGCUCCGCAACAAGAGAGGCCGCGACAGUGAGAGGCCCGCGCACAGCGAUGAAGAGUGGCCCCCACUUGCCGCAACAGAGAAAGCCCUCGCACAGAAACGAAAACCCAACACAGCCAUAAAUAAAUAAAUAAAUAAAUAAAGGUUAAAAAAAAAAAAAAGAA